GAUGAGCGACUUUAGCAGUUUCUUUUGCAAUAAUGUUUGACAGUGUGUAUAACAGCAUUUGCCACAGGGAAAUGAACCAGUUAUUGAGUUUUUAUACAUGCAAAGAUUUUGACAUAGCAAAGCAAAGAAAAGGGAAAAUUCUCUCUAAAACUUAAAAUAGUAAUUAUCAUCUAAGACCGAUGAAGAACAGAAAAAUCAAAUCUUUUCUUCUCUUCUUUCCAUUUGAGUCCAAUUUCAUCUCCUUUCUUUAAGCUUCUCCUGUCUACAAAAUCUGUGAUCCAUGCAUGUGUUGUUCGUUGCUGAAUUGUUGGUUUCUUGUUGGACAGGUUUUUGUUUCUUGACAAAUUGUGUGUCAUGGAGACAACUACAAACAGUAAGAG
rnacentral:lncRNA from 1 species